rnacentral:rRNA from 1 species
GACGAACGCUGGCGGCGUGCUUAACACAUGCAAGUCGAACGGAAAGGCCCUGCUUUUGUUGGUUGCUCGAGUGGCGAACGGGUGAGUAACACGUGUGUAACCUGCCCUUGUCUUUGGGAUAACUUCAGGAAACUGGGGCUAAUACCGGAUAGGAGCUCCUGCUGCAUGUUGGGGGUUGGAAAGUUUCGGCUGUUGGGGAUGGACUCGCGGCUUAUCAGCUUGUUGGUGGGGUAGUGGCUUACCAAGGCUUUGACGGGUAGCCGGCCUGAGAGGGUGACCGGCCACAUUGGGACUGAGAUACGGCCCAGACUCGUACGGGAGGCAGCAGGGGGGAAUAUUGCACAAUGGGCGGAAGCCUGAUGCAGCAACGCCGCGUGCGGGAUGACGGCCUUCGGGUUGUAAACCGCUUUCGCCUGUGACGAAGCGUGAGUGACGGUAAUGGGUAAAGAAGCACCGGCUAACUACGUG